AGAGGUGUCUCGGCCAAAGGUGU
rnacentral:siRNA from 1 species